rnacentral:rRNA from 1 species
GACGAACCGUACGAACGUUAUUCGGAAUCACUGGGCUUAAAGGGUGCGUAGGCGGCGCGACAAGUUGGGUGUGAAAUUCCUCGGCUCAACCGAGGAACUGCGCCCAAAACUGUCGUGCUCGAGGGAGACAGAGGUGAGCGGAACUUAGGGUGGAGCGGUGAAAUGCGUUGAUAUCCUAAGGAACACCGGUGGCGAAAGCGGCUCACUGGGUCUCUUCUGACGCUGAGGCACGAAAGCUAGGGUAGCGAACGGG